UGAUGGGACGAGGAGGACACCAGAUUGCACGGCAGGUCCCCUAACUGAACUCAGCAAGCCCUUCAGGUCUUCCUCCACCAGACUCCUCGAGGGACAGUGUUCAAGACCCCGGCAGGGCUGUGGAUGCCGUUCAGUUGGAAGCAGAGGCAGGAGACUCAGAAGCUCAAGAACAUCUCCAGCUACACAGCAAGUUCAAGACCACUACGUGAAACCCUGCCUCAGACCUAGCAGUGGGCUGGAGAAAUGGCUCAGGAGUUAGAUCUCAAGUUACCCAGGCUGGUUUUGAACUUAUUCUAUAAUCCAGACGGGCCUUGAAUUUGCAGUCCUCCUGCCUUAGGUUUGUGAGUAGCUACGAUUUCAGCUGCCUGCCACCAGGCCUGUCUUGUGUCAUUUCUUUUUUUUUUUUUUUUGGUUCUUUUUUUUUGGAGCUGGGGACCGAACCCAGGGCCUUGUGCUUCCUAGGUAAGCGCUCUACCACUGAGCUAAAUCCCCAGCCCCUUGUGUUCAUUUCUUAUCCAUCUUCUGAUCACCUACACCCCAUGCCUUUGGAAUUGCAGUAAAUUCGGAGUCCUGAGCCCCUCCACCCUACUCAGUGAAACCCAGAACAUGCAUUUUCAGUACAGUCCAACAGGACUGUGGAAACUCUCUCCUUCCCAUGCUAAGCCCUCUUGCCAGGAUCCGCCUCUCUCGCAGCAAAAAAGCCUGGGGGGGGGGGGACCCUCCCUGUUAGAACCCCUACUGUCCCAGUUUUCCUCCCGUGGGUGAGGACCCUGCCCCUAUAAAUGGCCUUGUCAGAGAAGAUUUUAGAAGGUAAAGACAAGCCAGCUUAGAGCAGAGUUGUGAUGGGGGCACUGGGUGAGGACAGAGGCUGAACUUCCCAGACAAAGAACAAGGCUUAAUCAUAUUGCCCAAGGGCUACGAUCCAGCUCUGCCCAGAGCCUUGAAGAGACUGAGAAAUAAGCCAUUUGUUCCUCUUUGGCGUGGGAAGAGCUCUGGUUAGAGAGGCAGCCUGGUCUGCACGUAAGGCUCAGCUCAGGCCUCCCCGGCUGUGUGACCUUGAACACUGACUUCAUCUUCUGUGGUGCUCGGUUCCCCCCUGAGACAGAAAGCAUUCAUCACACAGCCCUUAUAAAGAGUAGACACAGUGACAUAAGGACUGCUCUGGGCUGCUGCUUGUUGAAUGUGUGAGUGGGUAAGUAAAAGAGAAUAGAGGGGGCUGGGGAGAUGGCUCACCAGUUAAGAGUGUGUGCUGCUCUUACAGAGGACCCCACUUUGGUUCCCAGCACCCACAUAGUUCACUAUCAUUCCAGGAGAGAUCCAUGUCUUCUUCUGACCUCCAAGGGCACAGGCAUACAUGUGGUUCACAUACAUGCAGGCACUCACUCCCAUACAUAAAAUAAAAUUUGAAAAAGUGGAUGGAUGGAGGGAUGGAUGGAAGGAUGGAUAGAUGGAUGAACGUAUGGAUGGAUAUAUAGAUGGAUGGAUGGAUGGACGGACGGAUGGAUAUAUAGAUGGAUAAAUGGAUAGAUGGAUGGAUGGAUGGAUGAUACUGGGAUGGAUGCAUGGACAGAUGGGACAGACAGAUGGAUGGAUGAAUGAAUGGGUGGAUGGAUGGAUGGAUGGAUAGACAGAUGGACAGAUGAUGGAUGGACAGAUACAUGGAUGGACAAAUGGAUGGAUGGAUGAAUGGAUGGAUGGAUGAUAAUGGGAUGGAUGCAUGGACAGAUGGACAGACAGAUGGAUGGAUGGAUGGAUGCAUGGAUGGAUGAUGGAUGGAUGGAUGGAUAGACGAAUGGACAGAUGAUGGAUGGACAGAUACAUGGAUGGACAAAUGGACGGAUGGAUGGAUGGAUGGAUAGACAGGUGGAUGGAUAGACAGAUGGAUAAAUAGAUGAAUGGAUGAAUGGUCCAUUCCUUCUUCCAGUUCUCCCAAAGUCCCUCUCUCAGCCAUCAUGCUGAUGUCAAGGCUUUCUUAUGUGGCACCAGGACUCCUUCGUGCAGGGUACACAUAUAUCAGGACACAGCAGCAAACUGCUGGCUCAGCUCAGGACACCUCUCUGGCCAGUAUCUCAGCACAGCCCUGUGUGUAGACCUGUUUGGAAAAAUCAGGUGUGUGGGUGGGACACAGAUUUGGGUCCAGGAAGACAAGGCGGAGAGAGUUAGCAGGUGGCCAUAGCUAAACAAGAGAAAGCAGUCCUAUGCGGAGUAUCCGGAGAAGAUUCGUGAAGAGGUGACUUCUCGGUCUUUAAGAAUGGGUGUGGGGUUGGGGAUUUAGCUCAGCGGAAGAGCGCUUGCCUAGCGAGCGCAAGGCCCUGGGUUCGGUCCCCAGCUCCGAAAAAAAGAAAAAAGAAGAAGAAGAAGAAGAAGAAGAAGAAGAAGAAGAAGAAGAAGAAGAAGAAGAAGAAGAAGAAGAAGAAAAAGAAUGGGAGCACCCAAGCUGGAAGAAGAGUGGUCCAAGGAGAGAGAACAACCUAAGCAAAGGCAGGAACAAAAGCGGAGAACCCCUCACUCCACAGCCUGAAGUCUUCAUACCAUGAACACAGCUGAAAGCAAGCCAUCUAGAAUCUUCCAGUAAAGAUGUCCACUGUCAGUUGCUCAGAGGUCAAAGCAGUGCUUCCCCUGAGCCACUAAGGCUCCCUACAAGCUCAAAGCCAUCUGAGAGUCUCCAAACCUAAGACCAGACGUGUCAGUCUUGCCAAGGAAGCCUAAGGGGGUUAGUGAGGGCAAACGAUUUUCCAGGAAUGUUCUGUGAGAGCUUCCCACUCUCGCCCAUGCUUGGCUGGAUCACAGGUCAGUCUUGGCAUGAGUCUUAGGCAAUACCAGUCCCCCAGGCUCAAGCCUACUCCCCACCCCUCACAGUUAUGACCCAGGAUAUCCACGGCCUAUGGCCAUCUUUCUGGGAGCAGCCAGGCUGGAGGCGAGGCAUGGGAGACAAGCCUACAGAGGGGCUUUCUGGAGGCUCAUCUGAGAGCAGAGCCUUGUAGCAAUCCCCAGGUGCUCCCCUCUAAAGCUGGCUGAAAGGUCUCUGGAUGAGAAGAAGGCUGACUUGAGGUGGCAUUCCUGUUGGUCACAUGACUUCAAACAUGUCAAUGGCCCUGGAGCUCCAGCUAGCUUCAGUAUCUGGGACAGUUUCAUCUUCCUGUCUGGGGUUCCUCCCCUUCCUAGACCCCACUGCUCUCUGACAUUCACUGAGGAAAAGAAGGCACAGAUCAGUCAGGCCUGGUGGCUUUAACCCAGCCCUAGGGAGGCUGACAAAGUCAGAGCUCUAAAUUCAAGGCCAGCCUGAUCUACAGAGCGAGUUCCUGGACAGGGCUACACAGAGACAGAAAGACCCUGAAAAAAAAUAAUAAAAGUAAAAUAGAAUCCACCUCUCCUCCUGGCAUAUUUCAAGCCUUGUCUCAUGGCCCCUUAGAGAGAUGGGGGCACUGCGGGCCUCGUCCUCCAGGUCUUCACAUCCAUUAGUGCGAAACUGCUACCUGAUCUACCAAGAAGCUACACCUAGAGGACACUAAAGACAAUGCCAACUUGUUUGGCUAACACCACUCGGUCCCAAAGCUGAGCUAGAGAGACGUAUUCUGCUCAACGUGUUCUGUACCCGAAAGAAACGUGUAUGUCCACAAGUAGGUGUGCACACGAAUGUUUCAAUCAUGGAGGUUCAAAUUGGAGCAUCCCAAAUGCCUGUGCGCAGUGGGUGGUUAAACCGACUUCGAUGUGCUCAUGCACUGGAACACUCCACAGUGACUAAAACAACAAAAAGCAUCAGGCAGGGAGACUCUCGAAGGCAUUAUGUUGAAGAAAAUCAACCAGACACAAAGCCACCAUCUGAUACCAUCAGUAUGAAGAUCAACAACCUAUGAUGGUAAAAGUCAGACCCAGGGGUGGUCUUCUCUGGAGAAGAGCACGAGGUGGUCUUGAAGUAUUUAAUGCGUUGGUCUGUGCUUAUAUGGGUAUAGACACGAGAACGGCAACCUAGCCAGAUGUUCUAAGUUCAAUAAACUCAAUUGCAUAUAAAUUAUCAAGAGGAAUGGACCCAGUCACAUAGGCUCUAACCCAAACAGAACAGAGUUCUGGGUUAAGGGGAAGAAGAAAUGAAAGGAGCAGACAGUGGGAGAGCUAAGGCCCAGGGCUGGUGGGCAGCACAGUGCAGGGCUGGUUGUGCUACUUACAGCCUAGGAAGGCUGAGUGGCUUCACCAGGGAGGAGCUGCCAGGCGUACAAGCAAGGACCUGGCCAAGCACCUUCAGUGGGUCUCCUGCACAGGGCUGGCAUCUUGUGAGCCGAGGUGGCACCUACCUUCCAAGCACACUGUCUGCCCACCUCCUUUUUUCCUUCCUAACAGCUGUGGGGCAAAGGAAAGACUGAGCCCCAUGUCUGUCUUUUGUUCCAAGUAACAGUCAAACCCAAUUUGCCCAAAUGUGCUUGAAUAAAAAGAUAUAGAGGAGGGUUUGAAAUUAUGGAUCAAUUGAUAGAGUACUUGCUUGGGAUGUGUGAAGACAUGGGUUUGAUCCCCAGCACCACAGAAACCAGGCACAGGGCACAUGCUGUAGUUAGAGCACUCAUGGAGUAGGGACAGCAAAAUAAAAAGUUCAGGGUUGGGGCUGCAAAAGUAGACCAGCAGCUAAGAGCCUGUGUUGCUUUGCAGAGGACCUGAGUUCGAUUCCCAGCACCCACAGAGUGGUUAACAUCUUUAAUUCUGGUUGCGGAGGAUCAGAACCCCUCACUCAGCUGCCUCAAGCACCACACACACAGUACACAGAUAUGCACACACACACACACGCAUGCACACACACACACACACACACACACACACACACAUACACGGCACAUGGAUGUGCAUGAAGAUAGGAUACGGAUACACAUAAAAUCUUAGAAAGUUCAGGAUCAUGCUCAGCUGAAGUGAGUUUGAAGCCAGCCUAUAUGAGAGCCUGCUAACUACGGAUAAACGAGCGACAUGUGCAAGGAGCAAGUGCCAUUUACUUUCUCUCAAACAGAACCUCUGGACAACCUGCCAUUAGAGAAUAUUCUAGAAAACCGCAGGGAGCCUGCCAUUGUCUGGGCUCUGUGGAAGAUGAUAGGUGACCCUAUUAACAGAAUGAAAGUCUAGCUGUGUCUCCUGUGUGUUCUGUUCCUUACUUUGUGGUUCUCUGACCAUCUCCACAUCCCUCAGUGGCUCCUCACCCUGGCCUGCCCCUGUGCAGCACCCCGACCCGUCCGUUGUACCCUAGUCUUCCCGCUGUUCCUUGACUUCUUGCCUUGGACCUCAGAUCUAAGUAAGCUUUCUACAGCAAUACAGAGAGACCAAGUGCUGUCCUUGGUAGACAGUUUUUUUUUCCUUAAGAACCCAGAGGAGGUGAAAACCAAACUUGAGGCACUGCUUUCCAGUGUCUGGGCAGGCAAUUCCAGAUCCAUGUGUGCUGUUCAUCCUACAGUGUGGCCCGGGGCUAACGAGGAUGUCUGGGCUCAUAGUCAGAAAGCUGGGGAUCCCGUAGAGGGCAGAAUCGCCAGGCUCCCUGCACCUGCAUGAGCCGGCGGGAAAGUGAACACAUCUUCUACAGCAUCAUCUCUGAAAUGAUGGAGGACACUUAGGGCAGGGCGCAGGAACUCUACAGCCAGACUCAACUCUGUCCUCUCUUCCCUGGACAGCCCCUGCCGUAGCCACACUGGCCUGUUCUCAUGAAGCCU